rnacentral:rRNA from 1 species
UGGGGAAUAUUGGACAAUGGGCGAAAGCCUGAUCCAGCCAUGCCGCGUGUGUGAAGAAGGUCUUCGGAUUGUAAAGCACUUUAAGUUGGGAGGAAGGGCAUUAACCUAAUACGUUAGUGUUUUGACGUUACCGACAGAAUAAGCACCGGCUAACUCUGUGCCAGCAGCCGCGGUAAUACAGAGGGUGCAAGCGUUAAUCGGAAUUACUGGGCGUAAAGCGCGCGUAGGUGGUUUGUUAAGUUGGAUGUGAAAUGCCCGUGCUCAACCUGGGAACUGCAUUCAAAACUGACUGACUAGAGUAUGGUAGAGGGUGGUGGAAUUUCCUGUGUAGCGGUGAAAUGCGUAGAUAUAGGAAGGAACACCAGUGGCGAAGGCGACCACCUGGACUAAUACUGACACUGAGGUGCGAAAGCGUGGGGAGCAAACA